rnacentral:rRNA from 1 species
AAAUUGAAGAGUUUGAUCAUGGCUCAGAUUGAACGCUGGCGGCAGGCCUAACACAUGCAAGUCGAACGGUAACAGGAAGCAGCUUGCUGCUUCGCUGACGAGUGGCGGACGGGUGAGUAAUGUCUGGGAAACUGCCUGAUGGAGGGGGAUAACUACUGGAAACGGUAGCUAAUACCGCAUAACGUCGCAAGACCAAAGAGGGGGACCUUCGGGCCUCUUGCCAUCGGAUGUGCCCAGAUGGGAUUAGCUAGUAGGUGGGGUAAUGGCUCACCUAGGCGACGAUCCCUAGCUGGUCUGAGAGGAUGACCAGCCACACUGGAACUGAGACACGGUCCAGACUCCUACGGGAG